rnacentral:lncRNA from 1 species
AAAGUACAGGUGCGACCUGUAGAGGUGAGGUCCAUUUGGGGGCAGUGAUCAUAGACGAACUGAGCUGGCAAUCAGCUCCCUCAUUAGCAGCCUGGUGAAAAAGCCCAUAGGGGAAGAAAUAAAUAAAGUUGGCAUGUGUUUUAUCCUAUUGGCACAACCCAAGACACAGGUAUACUUGUAAAUGGUAUUUUCAGUAAUAACUGAAAUGUGACACAUGCAUUGUGUCAGACUGUCUGGUGUCUGUUAAUAGUGGGAGAAUUAUAAUAAAGGAGGUCAAGAGUCCAGAUGAAAACAAAGUAAUCUUUCAAAAGCACUGGUUAUGUAGAGCACUUUCUACUUUCCCAUAGAAAUUCCUCAUGAUUGAAGUCACAGUGGCCCUGCACUGGGAUUGAAGAGACCUGGUUUUGAGACUUGGUUCUGCUGGCCACUAGUCAGGAGUCCUUCAGCAAACCACUCGUGCCCUCUGUCCUGUUUCCACAUGUCCAUCCGUGGAGGGGCCAGGCAGAGCAAGUGGACAGUGUUACAGUAGCCAAAGGGGAAUUAGCUGAGCUACCAAACUACAGCCCACAACAGACAGCGGUGGGCAGAUUGAGAACACCUGAUCUUCCCAAAUUGACACUAGGAUCACAGAUGGCAUCAAUGUCUGGGUCUUAUGAAACGAUUAGGACUGUUUCACACAAUUUGGUGUGCUUAUAGGAGCUGCAUUCUUCCAAAGUCCCCAGCAAUAAUUUACAGAGCCACUUGGACAAGCAUGCAAAGACAGAAGUGUUGGGACACACAGUGGUGAAAAAUUCAAGAACUGGAGACAACAGCAUGUCUGUCGAGACAAGGCAUUAUUUAUUAUCUGUUAAAUAAAUCAGAUUGUAUCCCCACAAUAUAAUAAUGAACAGCCAUUCAAAUGGUGAUGUUGAUCCAUAUUUCUUGCCCAGAGAGAUAAAAAUAGAAAAUCCAAUUAAGUUAUUGUCUUUUUG